AUUGAACGCUGGCGGCAUGCUUUACACAUGCAAGUCGAACGGUAACAGGCCGCAAGGUGCUGACGAGUGGCGAACGGGUGAGUAAUGCAUCGGAACGUGCCCAGUCGUGGGGGAUAACUACUCGAAAGAGUAGCUAAUACCGCAUACGAUCUAUGGAUGAAAGCGGGGGACCGUAAGGCCUCGCGCGAUUGGAGCGGCCGAUGUCAGAUUAGGUAGUUGGUGGGGUAAAGGCUCACCAAGCCAACGAUCUGUAGCUGGUCUGAGAGGACGACCAGCCACACUGGGACUGAGACACGGCCCAGACUCCUACGGGAGGCAGCAGUGGGGAAUUUUGGACAAAGGGCGCAAGCCUGAUCCAGCAAUGCCGCGUGCAGGAAGAAGGCCUUCGGGUUGUAAACUGCUUUUGCACGGAACGAAACGGCUCUGGUUAAUACCCGGGGCUAAUGACGGUACCGUAAGAAUAAGCACCGGCUAACUACGUG
rnacentral:rRNA from 1 species